GUUAUUUAUUACUAGUAUUUAUCUUCUCGACUUAUACGUUAUUCAAUGGUAUAUUAACUGACAUUAAACAUAAAAUAUAAAAGAUUUAAAUAAUUUAUCCAUGUCAUAAUGACCGCUAUAACAUACCGUGCCAAGCGCUAACUACCAACUUGCCUAUACCUUAUUUUGUUGAGUGAAACCUACAUAGAGGAAAAAUAUAGCCAGGUACCACAAGAAGUAGUUAUACCUGAGCUUUGAGCCAGUGUAAUUAGAUAUCCACUGGCUAUAAACAUCUGUAAGUUCAAAUGGGUGGUAUUGCUACUGUACUGUUUAUCCAGCCAUUUCUGGGGAAGCGACUGCGCACGGAAAUCAAACGCGGAAAAGAAAUUUCACAAACUAUACAAUCAAACAUGGACAAAAUAAUAAUUCAAAACCAAUUCGAAGAAUUAACGAGGAUCCUCUUGAAAAACUGCAGAAAGAAUUAGGAAAGUUCGCUCAUCAUGGAAAAAUUGAAACUUACUAUGACCCAUACUGGCAGAGUGGAGAAUGGGUGUUUUUGAGGAUUACAACGCGCAAAGGGGAUACCCCUCCUGCAACGACCACAUUAAUACCCGGAAUUACUGCAAAAAAAUUUAGGAAAUGGCCGAUGUCUAUAUACCGGGACUGCGAUCUAUUAUGUAUAAAUAUUUAUAAGGAUAAUUAUGGUGCGGUGUGCGCGCAGCGGUACAACACUAUGACAUGGAAAAAUGAGUACAAAUCAUUUAAAAACAUGUGCGAAUUAGAACGAGAGAACUGCAAAUUACCCGAGAAACGACCGAUGUGGUAUCCAAUACACAGAGAGAAAUACUGCGAUGAAUUAUCGACAUUUAAGUUGUUCCCGACAAAUCCAACCUUGAUUUUGCAACGGAAGACUAGCUGGGCUCCCUACGAGUACCUUCGAACGAAGACUACUACCGUACCAGUUUUGUUUUUGACUACAACUGGCAAAAGUAAUUAGUUUUGAUGUUGCGCCAUUCGGGUAUUAUAAAUUGUGUUUUGUAUCGACAUAUCAGUAAACUAUAUGAAGAAAAUCCAGCAUGCCUUACAUGUGAUAAUUAUUAUUGUUUCUACAUGACACUUGAAGUAAUAAUAAAUUAUUUAUAAACACAUAUCGACAGUCAUAAACCUUUACUUUUAUUUAAUCUUGUUAGUAUUUGAUAUUCGUUUAUCAUAAUUCGAUAUGUGAUUACGAUUGGAGCUAUCAAAUGGAUCCGCUAGAAAAUAAAAUGUCCGAUUUAUGUUUGCGAUAAAUCGGACUUGAUGACACCCGUUCCGAUCUUCUGGAACAUCGCAUCGGACCAGUGCAUCCCUAGUGUAUGGA